CCGCCACACUGGGACUGAGACACGGCCCAGACUCCUACGGGAGGCAGCAGUGGGGAAUUUUGGACAAUGGGGGCAACCCUGAUCCAGCCAUUCCGCGUGAGUGAAGAAGGCCUUCGGGUUGUAAAGCUCUUUCAGCUGGAGUGAAACGGUUCGCUCUAACAUAGCGAGCUAAUGACGGUACCAGCAGAAGAAGCACCGGCUAACUACGUGCCAGCAGCCGCGGUAAUACGUAGGGUGCGAGCGUUAAUCGGAAUUACUGGGCGUAAAGCGUGCGCAGGCGGAUUGUUAAGCAAGACGUGAAAUCCCCGGGCUUAACCUGGGAAUGGCGUUUUGAACUGGCAGUCUAGAGUGCGUCAGAGGGGGGUGGAAUUCCACGUGUAGCAGUGAAAUGCGUAGAGAUGUGGAGGAACACCAAUGGCGAAGGCAGCCCCCUGGGAUGACACUGACGCUCAUGUACGAAAGCGUGGGUAGCAAACAGGAUUAGAUACCCUGGUAGUCCACGCCCUAAACGAUGUCAACUGGUUGUUGGGGGAG
rnacentral:rRNA from 1 species